GUCUUCCGGCAUGCUCUGCCAGACGACUGUGCACUGCCGAUU
rnacentral:rRNA from 1 species